rnacentral:lncRNA from 1 species
UGGCAGUGAUUGUAACCGCUGUCACUAUCACCGUUGCCAUAAAUCUAUGGCAGCAGUUGUUGCAGCGGUUAUGAUAACCAUUGUCAUACAGGGAUAUAGCAGCGGUUAUUAAACCACUGCUAAAAUUGGAUCUAUCGCAACGGUAUAUAACAGCGGUUGGUAAAUCACUGCUAUAGCAUCUAUAGCAGUGAUUUCUAAAUUGCU